rnacentral:rRNA from 1 species
AAAUUGAAGAGUUUGAUCAUGGCUCAGAUUGAACGCUGGCGGCAGGCCUAACACAUGCAAGUCGAACGGUAACAGGAAGCAGCUUGCUGUUUCGCUGACGAGUGGCGGACGGGUGAGUAAUGUC